ACGGCAUACGUCAUGAGUAACCUGCGUGUUUUAAGUUCGAAGACGAAAGGAACGCGUGCCAAAAUAGAUGUACUGUAGAAUGAGAAAGAAUUCCGAUCUCAAAUUAUCGUUUAAAGUGUACCAAAAAAUACUAUUGGAUAUAUGAAAAUGAAAUCAUUGAACCUUGUUCUGUUGUUUAUUGGAGUUACCUUAAUAAGCGGAAGCAGUAUGCCGACAAACGCUACUAAUUCAAAAUUCCCAACACACAAGAAUAACAGUGAUUUGGCAAAUGGAACAAACAUAUCAACGACAUCAAAGGGUUGGGGAUACUUCAAAAUAUCGCUCAUCAAUAUAUUCAUUAGGGAUGUUUGGACUGAAUAUCCUUCAUCAAUAAUAGAACAAUACGUCUUGUUUUCACAUUUUAUUCUCAUCAUGUGAAAGUGCGUCAGGUUGCAUUUUUACUUUUCCAUGGCUGAAUAAUUUUUAAUUCUGCGGAAUGAACUAGCAACAGCGUUUUGGAAAGAGCGUCAUCAUCAGAAUUAAGAUGAAAAACAAUUGAUAAAAUACGAAAAUUUGGAAGCAGUUUUUCCACACAAACUCGUCAAACCGUACAAUCUCCACAUUGAAUAGAUAAUAGAAGCAGUUUAUCAGAUAGUGACCUUGCUUUCAUUGAGGUUUUGGAACGGCAAAAACCCUCCACUACCUCUGAGAUUAACCAUGUUGUUCUAGAAGUAGACCAUUUUCCAUGCAGAGGCACAUCGACAACUGCAUCCAGCAAUGCAGUUCAAAACGGAUUGGUUAAAGCAAUUAUAGAUUUACUUACAAAACAUGUAAACACUUAGCCCGAGAAAUGCUUACAGAACUUUGUACAUACACACUGUAAAUACUUUGAUAAAUGCUUUGUAUAAUUAACAAGAAAAGGCAAAAGAUGACUCCCUUUGCUUCCUAGGAGAAAUAAUUUAAGUGUUACAUUUCUUUAAAAAAUCAAGGAUGAUUGCACACCACCAAUAGUAAGCAGCCUACUGCUUGUGACACAAACUUUACUCAGAAAGCUAAAUAUGUAAACCAGAAAAGAAAUAAAAUUAUAAGUGCCUUUGGAAAAAAAAGCAUAACGAAAACAUCCGUACCCUUUCGUCUAAUGUGUUAUGUCAAAACAAAUAUAAAUUACAUAACUAUAAUUAGCUGAACAAACAUACGUCAAAUUUCCUGGUUUUUUAAAGAACAAAGGACGAUUAUGUCACAAUUUGCAAAAGAACAUGUAGAGUAGUAAAUAUAGGCAACUUUGAUUUAUGUAGAUUUAGAGAUAUUUGAUUAGCACGAAAUUUCCCCUUAGGUAUAUUGACAGAAAUGUUAUGUUGCAUACUUAGCAACAUACCGCUAUAUGUCCAUGGAACGUCAUAACGAAAGUGAAAAACAUUUCCGUUGAACGCUCAACUUCAAUGAGAUGCAUUUCAUUUUCCACUGUACGUGACAUUUGGAAACUGAUUACUAAAUCGCUAUGGCAGUUCUCUUCUAUCAAGACAACAACGAAAGAAUCUUGUCAUCAUUAUUAUCUCGGUUGCCGUGAUCGGAGCUCCACUUAACUUAGCGGUUAUUCUUGCUAUAGUAUUUGACCCAUUAAGGAUCUUGCGCAAAGGACCGUGGAUAACAAUCUUAAACCUAGCUAUCGCUGAUUUUCUUUCGUGCGUUACUUGUUUUUUCCAAUGGCUGGAUUACCACGAGUUUACCAUCAUCAAUUUUACAGGCAGCGAGAGAUUACUUUACGAGGACAUUGUUCAAUUUGGUUGGUCAUUCAGUAAUGGUGCAUCUUUCUUAUUCCUGACUUUCUUUUCUAUGCAGAUCUUUGUGCUUACAAAACACCCACUGAAAAGUCGUUUUAUGUUUACAACACCCAAGGUUCUGUCAGCCUGUAUCGGGUUAUGGUUGUUCUCGAUCCCUGUUGGUUUUUGUUAUUUAAUACACAGAUUUCCGCCCUUCGAUAAAAACUUCAGAAAGUUUUGGGUGGCGCGCAUAGCUUUUUUGCAUUUCCUCACGCUCGUUCAGCUUAUCUUGAACAUCCAAGUUACCACUCAGAUUAUUCGCAGCGGCCGAAACACAAAAGAUGCUUGCAGACACAAUAACAAACACAGAAAUAUGGCGAAAACUGUGGUCAUUCUAACCGCAAUUCUCUUUAUUACCACGUUUCCUUUUUUGACACUACGACAAAUUGAAUUUGUUCUCAGAAUGAAUAACACUAAAAUAGGCAAUCUUGAUGAAGUUGCUUAUUUGCUUUAUCCGCUUUUACUAAUGAAUUUUGUCGCGAAUCCCAUCUUGUACUCGUUAAGAUUAACAGACUAUAGACGCACAUUUUUAGCAUUCCUUGGAAAGAUUCGAGGUAAAAACGUCCAUAUCCCAAAAACAACAGCUAACACAUCAUUUAAGCUUACUCAAACAUCGUCAAUAAACUCGGAUAUCUCUCAGUCAGGCAAAACAAAGCAUAUGUUGACGGAAAGAUUGCCUCUUCAUCACACAAGCCGUUUCUAAAUUUUAAAAUGUAAAAUACAACUACAUAGCGCACAUCAAUUAGCAUUAUGCGUACUAUGCAUUAAGAAGUAUUUAAAUGGUGUGUAUGCUGAAAAAUUAGAUAGAUAUCUGAAGAUAUGGGGGUGGAGAAAAAGUAGCUUCCACAAUAAAUUAUCAUUAAUAUCGGGUCGUUGCUUGUAAAAUUUCAUGUGUUGAAAUUAGCUAACAAAAAAUAUUUACUAUUUAAGACUAUUAAACUAUACAAAAGUCGAAAGCUAAAAUGAUAACUUUAAUCAAGUAAUUAAAUAAAUAUUAGGAAAUAGCA